rnacentral:rRNA from 1 species
AUACGUAGGUGGCAAGCGUUGUCCGGAUUUACUGGGCGUAAAGGGAGCGUAGGCGGAUUAUUUAAGUCAGAUGUGAAAUACCCGAGCUUAACUUGGGUGCUGCAUUUGAAACUGGAUAUCUGGAGUGCAGGAGAGGAAAGUGGAAUUCCUAGUGUAGCGGUGAAAUGCGUAGAGAUUAGGAAGAACACCAGUGGCGAAGGCGACUUUCUGGACUGUAACUGACGCUGAGGCUCGAAAGCGUGGGGAGC